AAGCCAUGAUGAGGACAUUUGCUAAACAAAUCUUUAAUUUUUUCCCAUGAUUCAUACAAUGAAUCAUUAUCAAAUUAAACAAAAGUAGUAAUAUUAUUUCUCAUUUU